UGGGGCACUGGAAAAGAAAUUAUCUUCUAUAUUUAGCUUCCCUUAAUCCGAAUAGACCUAAAAAGAGAAAUCAAUAAAGGAUUGCUGGACAAAGUACUUAUAUGAUAACACCUUGUAAUUUUUCUAUCUGUGAUGCUACUACCUAGGUGUUAGAUAUCAGAAGUUCGAUUCAUAUUUAUAAUUCAUUGCGGGGACUUCAGGUUAGUAAAAAAUUUUAGAAAAAUGAACGAUUUCUAAAUGUUGG
rnacentral:lncRNA from 1 species